CCGGGAUCCUCCCGGGCUCCGCUGGGAGCGGGAUCCGCCAGAAGCGGGCUCCACCGGGAGCGGGAUCACCCUGGGCUCCACCGGGAGUGGGAUCCGCCGGUAGCAGGAUCACCCUGGGCUCCACCGGGAGCGGGAUCCGCCGGUAGCAGGAUCACCCUGGGCUCCACCGGGAGCGGGAUCCUCCUUGGCUUCGCCUGGAGCGGGAUCACCCUGGGCUCCGCCUGGAGCGGGCUCCGGCCGCCGCUCUGCGCGUUCUCUCCGCUGCCCGCGCAGUUUUAUGGUUCUAAUGCUCCAUCGGAACAACUGAGAUGAGACUGAAGACUUCCCUUUUAAAGGAACCAAAACAUAUCCUUUGUCACAGAAAAAGCACACAACAUCAUGUUCAUUCUGAAUAAACUCUUCAGAAAGAAUUGGUGAGCUGUGUGGGAUGGACCACAGCUGAUGAGCUCUACUCGUGCAGCGAUGAUCACCAGAUCAUGAAAUGGAACCCUGUGACCAGCGAGACCACUCGAGUGGUGAAGCUUCCAGAUGAUGUUUAUCCCAUCGAUCUGCACUGGUUCCCCCGAGGGAUUGGUGGGAAGAAGCAAUCCCAGGCCGAGAGCUUUGUUCUGACUAGUUC